rnacentral:rRNA from 1 species
GUGAAAUUGUUGAAAGGGAAACGAUUAAAGUCAGUCGUACCUACGAGUGAUCAACCUACUCGAGUGCGAUUUUGUGGGUAUGUUUGAGCUUAAAAACCUUCAUGCUUACAAAUUGGUGCUCUUUGGGCGUACUUUUUCGUAUGGUAGGCCAACGUCAGUUUUGAUUACCGUAAAAUGAUCGGAGGAAUGUAGCUUCGAUCUCGUAUUGAAGUGUUAUAGCCUCUGGUAGAUGCGGUGACCGAAACUGAGGAUUGCAACGAAUACCCUUUUGGGCUAUCCGUCUGGCCUCUGAAAGUUGCUUAGGUUCCGAAAGCGUGCUUACGGCUAUUUAAGUUGACGGUCAACAGGUUAGAACGUGAUUACAUUCGUUAAGGACGUUGACGUAAUGGCUUUAAACGAC